rnacentral:rRNA from 1 species
GAUCUCGGAAGCAAAGCAGGGUCGGGCUCAGGCAACUACUUGGAUGGGAGACCUCCUGGGAACACCGAGUGCUGUAGACU